GAUGAACGCUGGCGGCGUGCCUAAUACAUGCAAGUCGAGCGAACAGACGAGGAGCUUGCUCCUCUGACGUUAGCGGCGGACGGGUGAGUAACACGUGGAUAACCUACCUACAAGACUGGGAUAACUUCGGGAAACCGGAGCUAAUACCGGAUAAUAUAUUGAACCGCAUGGUUCAAUAGUGAAAGACGGUUUUGCUGUCACUUAUAGAUGGAUCCGCGCCGCAUUAGCUAGUUGGUAAGGUAACGGCUUACCAAGGCAACGAUGCGUAGCCGACCUGAGAGGGUGAUCGGCCACACUGGAACUGAGACACGGUCCAGACUCCUACGGGAGGCAGCAGUAGGGAAUCUUCCGCAAUGGGCGAAAGCCUGACGGAGCAACGCCGCGUGAGUGAUGAAGGUCUUCGGAUCGUAAAACUCUGUUAUUAGGGAAGAACAAAUGUGUAAGUAACUAUGCACGUCUUGACGGUACCUAAUCAGAAAGCCACGGCUAACUACGUG
rnacentral:rRNA from 1 species